ensembl:lncRNA
AGGAGGAGUACUGUUUCCUUUGAGAUAGACAUCGUUGCUGAAGUCCCACAGAAGACACUACACACUGUGAUGAAAAAUUUCACAUGGGUCCUCCGACAUGUAGCUAAGAGUAGGAGAUCCAAGAACUAUGGGGAAUCCAGCACCCAUUUCUUUUGAUGAGAUCACUAGAAACUACGGAAGCAAAGUUCACCUUCAGGCAUUGAAGACAAAGUGGUUCUUCUGCAAAUAUGGGAUAUCUAUUGAAUUCACAGCUCUCCCUCCAGACUUCUACUGGUUUUGGUGAGGGGUAAUGGGAAUUCUUGAACAGAAAUUCAAUAGAAUGGAAAUGCAGAGCUUCACUUGUCAUGCUUCUAAUUUUAUGGAUCUAUGCCCUGAUUCAAUCUGCCAUUCUGAACAUCUGGUGUGUCUUGAAAAGAAGAUUCUUUCACAUGGAGUCUCGUUCCUGAUUUCCUCAGCUAUUAUUUAUUAUACUGGUUGGGCUUUAGAAGGGAUUGCUGAACCAGUGUGGAUAAUCUAAAAAAUAAACUUAAUCUAAAACUAAUGCAAACUGCACAGCAUAGGAGAUUUAGAAAAGCCUACUUAACAGUCAAGUAAAACCCUUUCAUUUAUCUUGGUACUUCCGAAUCUGAACAGAUACUGGACCACGAGUCAAAAAUUAAAAGAGUGCUUUCCAAGUGACCAGAAGGCAGAGAUUCUGCACACAAGCCUGCUUGCAGAAUAUGGCCAGAGCAACACCGAGGGAUACCAAAAGACGUUAAGAGGAGGGCCUCAAGUGAUACCAAUCCUGGGCAAAAACCACGUGAAACCUCAAUCCUUGCAGACACACUAGGCACACAUCUCCCAGUGAUCUUCAUAGAGCCUCUUGUACACAGAAAGGCCUCAAAAUCCGAGACAUGACUGCUAUCUCCUGAAUUCAGGAAACACUACAAGAAUGCUCCGAACUCGAUUUGAUCGCCAGUGAAAGAACGGUGAAGGCUAAAGGUGCUCCAGCCCAGCCAGCUGCCCUGCUCCUCAGGCAUGCCCCAAGGCAUCAGGAAGCCACGGAAGAGGUUUGCUUGAGUGAACACACAUCUUGCAUUGUGCUCAAAUACCUUACAUGUUGAAUGGAUAGGUUAAAUGUUAGGGAACUGUCCUAAAACUUGGAGAGAGAGCACUUCUCCAACUCACACUUCUGGGUGACCUUAGCAUCGUUGUACAAAUCCUCAUCCAUAAAAUGAGGAUGACAGCACUGACCCGCAUAAAGAAACAUGCUACAGACUGUAAGGUACCUGAACAGCGUGGGAGCAGAAUGAAGUCACCUCAAAGACAGAGAUGAAGUAGCUGCUAACAUCCCAGGCCAGCCGACACACUUCCAGAGGCAGCCUGUGCUUCAGAGCACCAUGGCUGUUUGCCUGCAGUUUGCUUGAGGUCCUCUGUUAAAUACUGUGGGACAUGCACAGGAUUCUUGGAGCUCUGGCUAGAAGAAAGCAUCCAAGCAUUGAAAGUGUCUGAAGAUACUUUUGAAUUUGGAUUCUAUAAAGGCUGGGGAGUGCUGAGAGCUCAGUAGCAACCUAAACUCAUUUUGAGAUGCUACCUGCAGAAGCAAAUAGGAGAGAGCAAGAUCUUGAAGAUAAGUAUGGAAUGGCUCAACAUACAGUGCCUGGUGGGCCCCUCAGGAGAAGACACCUACAAGAACUGACCCUGGAAAACUGGAAAGGCCUUAAGAAG